AGCGGUGAAAUGCUUAGAUAUCACGAAGAACUCCGAUUGCGAAGGCAGCCCGCCAGCCCGCUACUGACGUUGAGGCUCGAAGGUGCGGGUAUCGAACAGGAUUAGAUACCCUGGUAGUCCGCACGGUAAACGAUGGACACCCGCCGUGGGCGACAUACAGUCCGCGGCCAAGCGAAAGCGUUAAGUGUCCCGCCUGGGGAGUACGCCGGCAACGGUGAAACUCAAAGGAAUUGACGGGGGCCCGCACAAGCGGAGGAACAUGUGGUUUAAUUCGAUGAUACGCGAGGAACCUUACCCGGGCUUGAAAGUUAUUGACGGAUCUGGAAACAGAUCUUCCCUUCGGGGCAAGAAACUAGGUGCUGCAUGGUUGUCGUCAGCUCGUGCCGUGAGGUGUCGGGUUAAGUCCCAUAACGAGCGCAACCCUUGCUGUUAGUUGCCAUCAGAGAGGUUUGAGCAAUCAAAUGAGCUGGGCACUCUAACGGGACUGCCGGUGCAAGCCGGAGGAAGGUGAGGAUGACGUCAAAUCAGCACGGCCCUUACGUCCGGGGCUACACACGUGUUACAAUGGGCGGUACAGAAGGCAGCUACCUGGCGACAGGAUGCCAAUCCCUAAAGCCGCUCUCAGUUCGGACUGGAGUCUGCAACCCGACUCCACGAAGCUGGAUUCGCUAGUAAUCGCGCAUCAGCCACGGCGCGGUGAAUACGUUCCCGGGCCUUGUACACACCGCCCGUCAAGCCAUG
rnacentral:rRNA from 1 species